GCAGAGAAGGCGUUGGGUUAGAUGAGGAGGCUGUCCAGUGAUGGGAUUGGCCUAAUGUGAAGAUUCUCCUAGAGAGCUCGAUGAUUCCAGCCAGCGUCGGUCUCCUGCCUUCUCAGUUUUCUAGACGAGAGAGGAGCAGAGGGAACCAAGAGCAGCAUUCCAGGAUUGAGGAGAGGCCAGACCCCAUCUCUUCCUCAUGCUGUUGAGAGAUAGAAGGCACCUCCUUCCCCUGGGGGCACCAGUCAGGCUGUUUUGCAAAAGUGAAAACUGAUAGUUGCUGAGUGCAUCCUCUUCUUCCUGGCCCUCCGAGCAAGUAAAUAAGAAGAAAGUAUGAGUUUCCGGGACCAGAUGCUAUGACCAAGGGCGCGGCUGCCCAAGAUUUGAUGUGGACGGUCCUGAGUUCGAAUCCCAGCACCUGCAUGG